rnacentral:rRNA from 1 species
GGCAGCAGUGGGGAAUAUUGGACAAUGGGCGAAAGCCUGAUCCAGCCAUGCCGCGUGUGUGAAGAAGGUCUUCGGAUUGUAAAGCACUUUAAGUUGGGAGGAAGGGCAUUAACCUAAUACCUUGCUGUUUUGACGUUACCGACAGAAUAAGCACCGGCUAACUUCGUGCCAGCAGCCGCG